rnacentral:rRNA from 1 species
UGGGGAAUAUUGCACAAUGGGCGGAAGCCUGAUGCAGCGACGCCGCGUGGGGGAUGAAGGUCUUCGGGUUGUAAACUCCUUUCGACAGGGACGAAGCUUUUGUGACGGUACCUGUAUAAGAAGCACCGGCUAACUACGUGCCAGCAGCCGCGGUAAUACGUAGGGUGCGAGCGUUGUCCGGAAUUACUGGGCGUAAAGAGCUCGUAGGUGGUUUGUCGCGUCGUCUGUGAAAUUCCGGGGCUUAACUCCGGGCGUGCAGGCGAUACGGGCUGACUUGAGUGCUGUAGGGGAGACUGGAAUUCCUGGUGUAGCGGUGAAAUGCGCAGAUAUCAGGAGGAACACCGAUGGCGAAGGCAGGUCUCUGGGCAGUAACUGACGCUGAGGAGCGAAAGCAUGGGUAGCGAACAGG